AGCAGUCGCCGCGGUAAUACGAAGGGUGCAAGCGUUACUCGGAAUUACUGGGCGUAAAGCGUGUGUAGGUGGUUGUUUAAGUCUGUCGUGAAAGCCCUUGGCUCAACCUGGGAAUUGCGAUGGAUACUGGGCGACUAGAGUGCGGUAGAGGAUAGUGGAAUUUCCGGUGUAGCAGUGAAAUGCGUAGAGAUCGGAAGGAACAUCUGUGGCGAAGGCGACUAUCUGGGCCAACACUGACACUGAGACACGAAAGCGUGGGGAGCAAACAGGAUUAGAUACCCGCGUAGUCCCUGUCUCUUAUAC
rnacentral:rRNA from 1 species